rnacentral:lncRNA from 1 species
CGGAGUUGAAAAGCCCUAGAAGCACGGUAUUACCAUAUCGACGGUCCCGACAUCCAAAAGGGUGCAUCUGUAUUGUGCCGCUAGGGUCCAUGCAUGCAUCUAGGGCAAAGAGCCUAACACGGGAUUAGUAGACGGGAUGAAUGAAGAUGCACACAUACCACAUAUAGAUUGAAUUGUUCAGUAUUGGCCACUGCAACAAUAAAAAAUCAUUGAGCAAUCAACAAUCGAUAUUGAUCAUCUGACGAGGAAGCAACGAGGGCGAUCGAAUCAGAGAAAUGGUCAAGAGCGCAUGCGUAGUUUAUAGCGGCAACCGCCAACACGAGGUCAAGCGUGCACCGAGGCCCAUAGAGAUGGGAAUGAGAGAGCGGUAGUUUUGCACGCAGGAAUUAUAUCCUGGCGCCAUAAGUGCUUGAUAUAGCUAGCAUUCAACCGAGCCCACACCCCUCCCCUUUAUGCAAUUCCUAAUAGG